AACGUAGGACGCAAGCGUUAUCCGGAGUUACUGGGCGUAAAGGGCGUGCAGGCGGGGCGCUAAGUUCGCCGUGAAAGGUCCCGGCUCAACCGGGGAUGGUCGGGGGAGACUGGCGCGCUGGAGGGCGGUAGAGGAGCAGGGAAUUCCGGGUGUAGUGGUGAAAUGCGUAGAGAUCCGGAGGAACACCAGUGGCGAAGGCGCUGCUCUGGGCCGCAGCUGACGCUGAGACGCGACAGCAUGGGGAGCGAACGGG
rnacentral:rRNA from 1 species